rnacentral:rRNA from 1 species
UACGUAGGGUGCGAGCGUUAAUCGGAAUUACUGGGCGUAAAGCGUGCGCAGGCGGUUUGGUAAGACAGAUGUGAAAUCCCCGGGCUUAACCUGGGAAUUGCAUUUGUGACUGCUCGGCUAGAGUGUGUCAGAGGGGGGUAGGAAUUCCACGUGUAGCAGUGAAAUGCGUAGAUAUGUGGAGGAAUACCGAUGGCGAAGGCAGCCCCCUGGGAUCAAGCAC